rnacentral:rRNA from 1 species
UGCCAGCCGCCGCGGUAACACGGGGGGCGCAAGCGUUGUUCGGAAUUAUUGGGCGUAAAGAGUCUGUAGGCGGUUAGGUAAGUCAGAUGUGAAAUCCCGGAGCUCAACUCCGGAACUGCAUCCGAUACUGCUUGACUUGAGUAUUGGAGGGGAAUCUGGAAUUCUCGGUGUAGCAGUGAAAUGCGUAGAUAUCGAGAGGAACACUAGUGGCGAAGGCGAGAUUCUGGACAAUUACUGACGCUGAGAGACGAAGGCCAGGGUAGCGAAAAGGAUUAGAUA